rnacentral:misc_RNA from 1 species
AAAUAAAAAAUUAAAAAUUAAAAAUAAAAAAGCAUCCAUGAUCUAAAUUUUCAAGCAAGGAAAAGUUGGAACACUUUGUUCAUGUCUGAAAAAAUUACCAGGAUCAACCUUGGUCUUGAUUUGCACCAAUCUGUUGAAAUUAUCCUUGAAGUACUUGAUCCCAUAAGCACAUGCUUCCAUGUAGCUUGCCUUGCCAUGGUGGUUGAUCCCCAAAUCAAGAUCCUUAUAGUUCAGGAAUGCUGCUCUUGGGUUCCUGGAAACAAACGGAGUCAUGUACUCGUAGAGCUGUCUCGCCAUUUCCAGGUGUUGGUUUUCUGCUUCAAACCCUUCUUCGGUCCAGUUUAUUUGAUACUGAAUCUUCCAUAAGUUCCCGGCUCGAUGUGGAAAUGGAGUUGCCGUUGCUGAAAUCUGUUUCAUUUUCCCACCGUAAGGAUUGAACCCCAUAAUUGGCACCUCUAGCUCUAUCAUUUUCUUCCAAAUCCCUUCCAAUCCUUCCCUGGGAAUUGGUUCUUGCACAUAAUCUGAUUUCCUUUUCAGAUGCACCAGUGUUUGAGGCUCUCUACUAACACAAAUAUCAGUUGGCGUCCCAACAGGGAAGUUUGUCCAAAACAGGACUGAUUCAAUCCAACUCAUUUCUAUACAGUCGGAUUUGAGCAAUCUCAGUUCCUGGAAGCUCCCUUUCAUGAUUGAAAGAAGUCUCUCAGAAUCUCCUAGAAACAGGGCAAUAAAUGUGGCCCUUAUCGUCUUUUCACCAGAUUUGCCAUUUUUCACCACAUCUAAGACAAGCCUGAUGAAGAGGUCUUCAUCAAUCUUGUGAGCAACAUUCUGCCAUUGAUAUACGAUAUCAGUUGCACUUUCUUCCAGUGUUCUUUCAACUCGGAAAACAGUAACCACUUCUGGAACUCGAACCAAGUUGAUUUUGUAUGCAAGAACCACUGCAAAGCCAGCUCCUCCACCUCUAAUUGCCCAGAACAGAUCUUCACCCAUGGAUUCUUUGUCGAGAAUUCUACCAUCAACAUCAACAACUUUUGCAUCAGUAAUAUUAUCGACAGAAAGGCCAUACUUUCUCAUCAGAUUACCGUAUCCAGCUCCAAUGAAAUGGCCACCGACACCAACAGUAGGGCAGACCCCAGCAGGGAAGCCAUGAGUCCUGCUUUUUUCAGCAAUUCUAUAGAAGAGUUCACCGAGAGUUGCUCCAGUCUGAACCCAAGCAGUCUCAUUUUCAAUAUCUAUAUCAAUGGAUCGAAGAUUGCACAUGUCAAGAAUAAAGAACGGAACAUCUGAAACAUAAGAAGUCCCCUCAUAGUCAUGGCCUCCGCUUCUGAUUUUCACAUGGAAGCCAUGUUUUUUAGCACAAACAACAGCAGCUUGCACAUGGGAUUCAUGCAAUGCAGUGAGAAUGAGAAAAGGUUUUGGGGUUUCUGAUGUGUUAAAUCUGAGAUUUCGAAUGUAAGCUUGAAGAAUAGAUGGAAAGGAAGGAUGUUCACGAGUGUAAAUUGCAUUGGAGAUUGGAAAAGAUGGGUGAGAGUGUUUCAGAAGUGAUUGAUAAAAGGUUUCUUGAGCUGAAUCUGGAGCUUCACCCAUUGGCCUUGGAAAAUUUUCCAAAUCCAAUAAUGAUUUCUGCUCUUCUACUCUCUUUCAAUGGGAAUUUAUAGAGAAAAUGUGGAUGAAUAUUCCCUAAGGCAAUGGAUACUAUACAUACAACCACUUUUUAAUGUUGUCUAUUCAUCUAGUUGAUAUAGCAUAAUAAUAUUUAAUGUUUGUAAUAAUAUUGCAAGUUAAAAUUUCACACAAAUAAG